rfam:Peregrinibacteria bacterium GW2011_GWA2_47_7 TY05_C0044, whole genome shotgun sequence.
UUACUGAAGAGUUUGAUCCUGGCUCAGGUUUAACGCUGGCGGUGUGCAUAACACAUGCAAGUCGAGUGUGCUCGCAAGAGUAACACGGCAAACGGGUGAGUAACACGUUGAUACCUCCCCUGAACUUUGGCAUAACCACGCGAAAGCGUGGAUAAUUCCAAAUAGUCCCGCAAGGGUAAAGAUUUUUCGGUUCAGGAAGGGUCUGCGGCCUAUCAGCUUGUUGGCGGGGUAACGGCCCACCAAGGCUAUGACGGGUAGCUGGUCUGAGAGGACGACCAGUCACAAGGGAACUGAGACACGGUCCCUACUCCUACGGGAGGCAGCAGUGAGGAAUCUUCCGCAAUGGGCGAAAGCCUGACGGAGCAACACCGCGUGAAGGAUGAAGGCCUUCGGGUCGUAAACUUCUUUUCUGAGGGAAGAAUUCUGACGGUACCUUAGGAAUAAGCACCGGCUAACUCUGUGCCAGCAGCCGCGGUAAUACAGAGGGUGCGAGCGUUAGCAGAGGCAAGUGGAAUUCCGUGUGUAGGGGUAAAAUCCGUAGAUACACGGAGGAACACCAAAAGCGAAGGCAGCUUGCUGGGCCUUUCUUGACGCUGAGAGACGAAAGCGUGGGGAGCAAACAGGAUUAGAUACCCUGGUAGUCCACGCCGUAAACCAUGAGUACUCCGUGUUGGGAGAAUCGACCCUCCCAGUGCGUUAGCUUACGCGUUAAGUACUCCGCCUGAGUAGUACGAUCGCAAGAUUAAAACUCAAAGGAAUAGACGGGGACCCACACAAGCGGUGGAGCAUCUGGUUUAAUUCGAUAGUAAACGAGGAACCUCACCUGGGCUUGACAUCUCGGGAAUCCUGCCGAAAGGCGGGAGUGCCGUAAGGAACCCGAUGACAGGUGCUGCAUGGUUGUCGUCAGCUCGUGCCUUGAGGUGUUCGGUUAAGUCCGUGAACGAGCGCAACCCUUGUCCUGUGUUGUAUAUUUCGCAGGAGACUGCCCCGGCCAACGGGGAGGAAGGUAGGGAUCACGUCAAAUCAGCAUGGCCCUUAUGCCCAGGGCGACACAGGUGCUACAAUGGCCGGUACAGCGGGUAGCCAAGCCGUAAGGCGGAGCCAAUCCCUUAAAACCGGUCCAAGUUCGGAUUGAGGUCUGCAACUCGACCUCAUGAAGCUGGAAUCGCUAGUAAACGCGUAUCAGCCAUGGCGCGUUGAAUAUGUUCCUGGGUUUUGUACUCACCGCCCGUCACGUCAUGGAAGCUGGGAGUGCCCAAAGAUCCACUUCGUGUGGAUUAAAGGCAAAAUCAGUGACUGGGACGAAGUCGUAACAAGGUAUCCGUAGGAGAACCUGCGGAUGGAUCACCUCUUUU